GCAAUAUGAUGUAUUUUCUCACGAUGGUCUUCCAAGCAUUGAUGCUUUGACGAAACUGCCAUUUGGCUUUGCUGAUUGCUGAGC
ensembl:snoRNA